CCGGCGGCCACGGGCCCCGGCAGGGAGGGGACGGACGGGGACGCCCGGGUGCCGAGGCCGCCGAGCCCCCGAGCCAGCCGCGAGGGUGCCUCCUCGAAGUUCCGGGGCUGCCUGGCGGCGGCUCGCUCUCCUACACGCAGCCCCCGCGCGCUGCCCAGGCUGAGGCUGCGAGAGAAAGCAAGAGUGGGCCGUGGGAGGUGAGAAAAGGGGGCCCCUGCCAGGGCGACCCCUGCCUGGCUCCUAGUCUGGGGGUGGGUGGGCAAGAGGGAGUUUUCGACCUCUUUCCCUUUCGCAGACGCACCGAGAGACCCCCCUGGUCCCCGCAGAUCCUGGAGAUCUGACUUAGAGGCGAAGUGGGGAGAGGGGUUUGGAGACUUUUGAGAAGAGCCACCCAACCCUCGCGGAAAGUCCGGCAGCCACUGAAGGGCCAGAGACCCGUGCGGGUGGCUAGGGUGGGGAGGAGACGGAGAGCAGGUUGAGUCUUCCGCUAGAGGCUUCACCUGGGUUUGCGAAGGCUGGCGCCAGGAACCCCUUUCCAGGCCCCCUGAGCCCGGAUCCGAGGCAGCCCCGCAGAUGCCGGUAGGCAAACUCAGGUUCCUGUGCCCUAGGUGGGCAGAAAGAAGCAGGCUGGAAAAUCAACUUUCCUUCUAAAUUACACACACACACACACGCACACACACGCACUCCCUGGGUUGUUAAUGCAGAGGUGUUAGUUCUGGAGCAAGAAUUAGAUGCAGGUGUGUCCAGAAAGAGUGCACCCUCCGCCCUCAUGUAUACAAACACAUUAACCUUUCCCCUGGCCAGACGAAGACUGUGAAGUAUUUCUAAAAAAUUGGGUGUCCUCGUUACCAAGAGCUGUGGCUUGAUGUUUAUUUCGUCCCUGAAAGUUGGCAAAGGGACAAACCUUUACGGGGUUGCACACAAAAUGUGCUUUUGCCCAUUUGGGUAUUUAACAGGGGAGCUGAUGUUCUGGUGGAUGGGUUUUGAUGAGGAGAUAAGGGCAGCUUCCCAUUUUGGCAGUGGAGGAAUGUUCACCAUAUUUGGAUUUGCUUCACUUCUUGGACACAGAUUCCCAAAGCUCAUGUGAACGUUGGUGAUGGUUCAGAGAGAAAAUUGCAGGCCUCACCCACAGCCUUGACAGCGUAGUUUCUUGGAAUCAAGAGUCAACACUGGGCUAUUUCCAAAGAUUAAAUCUUGAAAGCUCGGUGGGAGGCUGUAGCAGGAGGGCAGAGAUGUCCACACACUCAGAUAUGAAAAAUGGUCUUCCACUAGGAAGUCUUCCUCUUCAGCUAAGGCCCUGGAAGUAGUGAAGAGAAAGGGGCCCUUUCUGACCAUGCUCACAGGGAUGGAUUAAACAGGCCCUAUUUUUGCAAGAAAUGGAGCUGCACAGGGUGGCCAGCUCAUCAUCAGCUGCUCAUGUCACCCUGUUGGGGGCUGUCACCUGUAUGUGGGUCAGGCCCAGCCCAGGGCACGCAGAGUGGAAGCUGCAAUGCUGCCCUCCUUCACUCGCCAAGCAGUAUGUAUUGGGUGUCACCAUGGCCACCUAGACUAUCUGACUCCUCCUUCUAAUCUGCACCAAGGUGCCUUGUAUGGGCAAUGCCAGUACUGACUGUCCCACCCUGUUCCCCAUGCCUGUCCAGAGUUACUGUCCUGACUUUGGGUGAAUUAACAAUGCUCAUGAACUAAUUAUGUUUAAUGUAAAAGAUGAGCUAUUUUAUCUCAAUUUUAGAUAAUUUUAUAGAUGAACAUAAAAAUAUUACCAUUUAUGUGAAGUAUGCAUGUAUAUAUAAAAGUGUGUGUAUAUAUAGAUAUAUAGAUAGUUGGAUAUACAUUUUUAUGUAUCAGAAGUUAGGACAACUUUAAAAAAUAAAAGAAGUCAAGAUGAUUUAAAUUUGGUAACUUUAAAAUAAAAAAAGCUGUUCUGCAGUUUGGAAUCAGUUUUAUAUAUGGAUUUCUGGGCUUCACAGAAAUAUGUACUAUUUGAUUCCAUUUCAGCAGAUAGCCAUGAAGUGCCAGUCGCUGUACUAAACAAUAUGUAUAGAGUAAAGAAAAAUGAUGCAAACACCCUGUGUCUACCUAGUAAUCUAGUAAGGCAGGCAAAUGAUAAGGUCCCAAAUAGAUUUGCAGCUGUAAAUUAUGAUGAGAACUAUGAGAGAAAUGCUAAGAUGGAGAAUAACAAAGCAGAUCUAUUUCAGAUUAUGUGACUGGUAAAAUCCUCAAGUGAAACCCGAGGAGUGAGUUGGAAGGAGUUUAUGAAGUGAGUCCAUUCUGCCAUUUAAAGUAUAGAAGCAUUUGAGUUCAGAAUAAAAUUUGAUGUGUUUAAGAGAAAGUAUAAAAUAAAGCCGAUAACAAAGAAAAGAGAGGCCAGUGGCCAAAUCCAUAGUGUUUUAGUUUGUAAACUGCAAGUAACUAAUGAUGUUACAUCUGUGUAUUUGCCAUUUGCUUUUGCAAGUGUCCUUUCUUCUUUCCUCCCUCAUCCUCAUCCAUCUUUGUCUCUUCCUUUAAAUCCUGGCUCAACGCUCAGUCUUUUCUAGGAAUUUUUCUAGUUGGAACACCCCUUCAGCCAUGGUUCUUCAUUUGCUGAGUAUGUGUGUACUAUGUUUAUUUUCCUAUGUGUUUUGUUGAUAACAUCAGCCUUCACUCUCAUAUGUGUGAGUUGAGUAUCCAUGGAAUUGUAAAUGCAGGGGAUCACAAGGGCAGGAAUUACAUUUCCUUCUCUGGUCUGGCUAAGUCUAGUUGAGUCUCACUGUAUGGUGGCCAACCUCUCAAUAAAUGCUGGUACCUGGGUGAUCUUGUUUGACUUGACGUUUUUUAAAGGUUUAAAGAGGAAGAAAUACAUAUAUUAUAAAAACCUUUCAUUGUUAAGCAGAUGGGAACACCCAGUGCACCAUCCCGAAGGGAGUUCAGGAGACCUUCGCACUGCAGUGUGAUACCAUGGAGCUUGAAGGGCAGCCGACAAACUCAAAGAAUAAAUAUACAUCUUUUAAAAAUUAAAGAUUGGUUGUAGUUUUAGCCUACCCACACAUACCAGCUGCUGAUAGGAGUUUAUCCAUAGUUCUUCAGUCUUUCUUUCCAAAGUCAGCACUUGCUGUGUGCCAGAACCUGCUCUGGGUGCUGGGGAUAGAGCGGUGAACAAAACUUCUCUCAUGGAACUAGUUUUCCUGGAGGGGCGAGAGAAUAAGUUGUUACUGAGUGUGGCUGAUAGCAGUUAGUGCUGUCAGAAGAGGAAUCUUAGGGAAAGGUACAGGGGUUGGGAGAAAUACAGUAGUACCUCAGUACUUAUUUAUUCUAGGAAUGCAAUGAGCACCAAAAAUGACAAGAACCAAGCACAUUGUUUUGGCUGGAAAGGGUAAUGAGUCACAUGGCAUAUGACACUGACAAGUUCUAGCUUGCAAGGCAAGUAUCAAUCAAAACUAGGACAGAAAGGGGCCAGGGAUUUAGCUCAGUGGCUCUGGUGCCUCCCUUGCAAGUGUAAGGUCCCAAGUUCGAUCUCUGGUACAAAAAAACCCCAAACAAACUAGGACAGAAGUUUUGUGUCAAAAUGCGUCCAGUACCAAAUUCCAUGAGUCUUAAAGCAAUCAUUUAUAAACAUUGCCAAGAAAGGUGUCUACUGAGUAGACAUUUGGGCAUACAUGAAGCAAGCGAGCAGGCAGAUAUCUGUAAGCACAGGGAGCAGCAAGUCAGGCUAAGAAGAAAGCAUGCUUGGUAUGUUCAAGGAUUAGCAAAGAGACACACAUGGCUGGAACAGGAUGGGUGACCAAGAAAAUGCCAAGAAUGAGGGCAGAGAAGUAGCCAGGGCUCAGAUUGUGUAGGAUCUUGAAAGGUAUACUAUGGACUUGAGCUUUCACUCUGACUGAGAUUGUUUUCAGUUAGGGGUCCUCUGGCUGACCUAUAAACUGUUAACUAUUGUCACAGGGUGAAUUAAAUGGAAGGAAUUGGUUAAAUGGGUAACAAGAAUCACAGGAAGCUGCUCCCAUCCCUAACUUCUGGGGAGCCAGAAAAAUUGAAGAUGGUACAAGCGGAAGCUUCUGGGGAGCCCCUGAGGACCUGUGGAGACACUUGCUGUCCAGUUGCUUCUGGUCCCUGAGGUGCUGAUGUGGAGUUAAUGUAUCAACAGAGCUCUGGAGACUGGAGAACCUACCUAAGAUGUGGGGCUGGACUUCCAAAAGAGGCUAUCUUGGUAUUGGCAGGUGACAGUGCCUGCACCUGUAGCCAGCCACAGUACUAUCAGUUUUGAAUACAUUUUCCUUCGAUGGAAUUGGAGGGUGAGCUAAUGGGACCAGAGUGUGUGCAGAAAUAUCACCAAAUCGCAAAAUAAUGGAAAACAGUCUACAUCACGAAUUACCCCAUAAACAGAAUGAUCACAGGCUACCUUAAUCAAGAUAGAGAAUUAAUCCUCAAAGAUACUAAGCUGUGGACAAUUUUGGCAAUUUGACAACCUAGCAAAACACGAAAUGGAUCCUUUGUGUUAUGAAAGCCCCACGUGUGCAUUUCUCUAAAUGAAAGUCUCCUGAACUUAAACCCAUGGACAUUUUAAAGAAAAUGCAGUAAGCCAAUGCUUCCUUGGCUAAAAACGUGUCUGUGCUCUGCAAACAAUGAACAGAACCCAGGAAGGGAGAUGCAGACCGCCUGCUGAGCCAGUCCUAGUUCUCUUCCCUGGAAAUCUUGUCCUUGCACAGAACUUCUGGAAACCAAUAAAAGAAAACUAAUGUGCUACCCAGAGCAGAGAAAAUGGAAAUCUGCUGAGUUAAUAUUGUGGGUCAUAAAAGUCACUCAAAGAGAAUUCUUUCAAUAAGGUGCCUACCAUAGUGGUUAUAUAAUUCUUCCAUGAAACUUACUUUUCUCUUUCUGAAAAGAAGUUUUGUUUUUUCUCUCAAAGAAUAAUGGUACUGCUUAACAUCCCCAGAACACAAUGUGAAUGAGCUUUUAAAAUUUUAUUCUAAUUACAAGAGAAAUAUAUUCUGAGUAUAGAAGAUGAGGAACAUAGAGAAAACCCUGAAGGAAUCAAACAACCCUAUUGUGAGAUAAAACUCAGGUAACAUUUUGGGAUAUUUAACAAUGUCUAUUGCCUUGACGCCAAAAAGUCGGCAUUAUUGUCGAACAUUAUUAUUAUUAAAGUUUGGAUGUAUUUCAUUUGAAUGAUGGCUAUAAAUAAAUUUUAAGCAGAAAGCAAAAAUGACUUUUCUUUUGAUUCCAGGGCCUUCUCAUUAAACUACAUCCUCAAUCCUUUCUUGUUUUCUUAUUUUGAGUCAGAGCCUUGCUAAACUGCCAUGCUGUUUAAAUUGGACUCAAAACAUGCAAUCCUCCUGCCUUACCCUUCCAAAAUAUUGGAAUUACAGGCAUGCAUUGGAAUCACAGGCAUUUAAAUUUUAAAACAGAUACAGCAACACCUGUAAAGAACAGUUGGGCAUUAUGCUCUUGAAAUUUUUGAAAAACUAGAUGCUUAGUUAAUGCUUCCUUUACUUAAAAUAUUUUAGUCUCUGUGUUGGAAUUGCCCUCAAAACUGGUAUAUGAGCCAAAACACAAAAGCAUCUUGUCAUUUUAUAGCCUAAAUGCUUCUUUAAAACCAGUUCUUUUUCUUGUCCUUCCCUACUCCCUCUUUUACAUAUUUGAUUUGUUUUUCAGGUCAUCUUCACCUGGAGAAGCAAAGCAGAGCUAUUUUCAGAUCAGUUGUGAAGAUAGGCUCAGCUUCAGCUAUUUCUACUGAUGGGAAAUGCUAUCUUGCAUAAAUAUUCCAUAAUUAUAUGCUAGUCAUUGUAUCCAGACUGUGCAGUAUGUCUGUUCCUCUCACAUUUGCAGAAGAGCAGCUCAGCAGCUACAAAACUGACAAAUUCAAAAUGUAGUUUUUAGUAACCUAAUGAUGGAGGUAAACUUUUCACCUUCAGCUUUUUCUCCUUUGGAGGUUAGUCAUUUCAAGCACAGAAGUUGCAAGAUUUCUUUGGAAGACUGAAGAUGCAGGGAAGU
rnacentral:lncRNA from 1 species